rnacentral:rRNA from 1 species
UACGAAGGGGGCUAGCGUUGUUCGGCAUUACUGGGCGUAAAGCGCACGUAGGCGGAUAUUUAAGUCAGGGGUGAAAUCCCGCAGCUCAACUGCGGAACUGCCUUUGAUACUGGGUAUCUUGAGUAUGGAAGAGGUAAGUGGAAUUCCGAGUGUAGAGGUGAAAUUCGUAGAUAUUCGGAGGAACACCAGUGGCGACGGCGGCUUACUGUUCCAUUACUGACGCUGAGGUGCGAAAGCGUGGGGAGCACAUAGG